CUCUAGAUGGUGUAGCGGUAGCACGCGCCUCGGUACAGGUGAAACGCGGGUUUAACUCCCGCCUAGGUUCAGAGG